rnacentral:rRNA from 1 species
GCUUGUCUCAAAGAUUAAGCCAUGCAUGUCUAAGUAUAAACUGCUUAUACUGUGAAACUGCGAAUGGCUCAUUAAAUCAGUUAUAGUUUAUUUGAUGGUACUUUCUACUCGGAAUAACCGUAGUAAUUCUAGAGCUAAUACAUGCUGUAAAGCCCGACUUCUCGGAAGGGCCGUAUUUAUUAGAUAACAGACCAAUAUUCCUCGUGUCUAUUGUGGUGAAUCAUAGUAACUGAUCGGAUCGCAUGGGCUACGCCCGCGACAAACCAUUCAAGUUUCUGCCCCAUCAGCUUUCGAUGGUAGUGUAUUGGACUACCAUGGCUUUUACGGGUAACGGAGGAUUAGGGUUCGAUUCCGGAGAGGGAGCCUGAGAAACGGCUACCACAUCUAAGGAAGGCAGCAGG